GUCCUACGGGAGGCAGCAGUAGGGAAUUUUCGUCAAUGGGCGCAAGCCUGAACGAGCAAUGCCGCGUGAACGAGGAAGGUCUUCGGAUCGUAAAGUUCUGUUGAAGGGGAAAAAGAGCGGAGAGAGGAAAUGGUCUCCGCUUGAUAUUACCCUUUGAGGAAGUCACGGCUAACUACGUGCCAGCAGCCGCGGUAAUACGUAGGUGGCGAGCGUUAUCCGGAAUGAUUGGGCGUAAAGGGUGCGUAGGCGGAAGAACAAGUUGGUUGUGAAAUCCCUCGGCUCAACUGAGGAACUGCAACCAAAAC
rnacentral:rRNA from 1 species